GGUUUUUGGAAGCAAUGAGCCUAUUGUGCUGUCUAAUAUCUCCCCUAGCUUGUGUUCAGUCCCAGGCACUAAUUAAUUGAGGGCAGGUGUCUGUAAUUGCAGGCUCCCUUGCCUCUCAUAUGCUUCUCUCUGCUUAUUAAGGACACUUAAAAAUUCUUGCACUGGGGGUUUGCUCGGUGACUUGUUGCUGUGUUGUUUCCUGAAGCAAAAGAUUUCUGACUGUAUAAAAUAGUCGCACCCUCCCUUUUAAAAGAGCAAAUGACAGUGCUAAGAACGGUCCAUUUCUGAAAGAACAGACAAUAUGUUGAAUGUUGCUAUGCAGAUUGCCACACCUCUGAGAAGUCAUUUAAAGAGCUUGAGAACAGCUUUGAACACACAGUAUUUGCAUGGUUGACUUGUAUUCAUCCUGCUCCCUAAUGCUUAUACUAGCUUUUUGUCCAGGUUGCUGAAAUAUUUGUGCUAUGUUUUUCCCGUAUCUGUAAUCUCCAAAGCUGUGGAGUAAGUCACGCUGCACAUGAUGCUGCAUUAGUUCAUACCUCCCUGCAGACGGAUGGUCCAGAUUUGGCUUUAUUAAGUGUCUAGCAAGACUGGGAAUCGACUGCCUUGUUAAUUGUGAUGAGUCUUCCAUCUUCUUUGUUUUGUGUACUCGCUACAUAGAAUUGAAACAUUCAAUACCCUGGAAAUUAGUCCAUAUGCAGAUUCCCUUUCAACAGCUGUAAAUUAAAAGCAGAUGAGCAGCUGAGUAUACAGAGGAUCCAUUACAGGCAAAUAAUGUUUAAAACAUAACUAGACCCUGUCAAGUUAGACAGGCUCUGCAAUUGAUCUGUUGGUUGAUGCAGACUGUUCUAGAGAAAGACUUAUAGUUCCAUGACUAUAAGCUUUUUAGUAUAGUGAGUCAGUCCUUAUAUGGUUGUACAGUAACAAGCACAUUGUUUCUGCUCAAAAAAUAAUAUCCACAUGUGUCUACAGUGCAUUAUUUCUGCUCAGUAAAUAAUAUACCCAUGCUAUGUUAUUGGGCUUUUUAAUGGGAGCCUCCAUUUGUCUUGUCUAGAGGGAAUGUGCCUGUUUUACUAAGAAUUGGGCAGAAGGACUUUUCCCAUGAAAUCUGGAAAUAUCUGGAAUCUGACAAAUGUUGUUGAUAUCCAAGCAGUUGUACAGAAUAAGAUCAACAGGACUUGGCCUUGUCUAGUUAAGGUGAAAGCCUCUUUUGAAAUGGCUCCUUCUCUCAGUGUCGGAGAAUUGAGACACCUCAAUUUAAAGACACCCAGUUAUUCAAACAGCCACUGUUAAGAACGGCCAUACUGGGUCAGCCAAUGGUCCAGUAUCCUGUCUUCCGACAGUGGCCAGUGCCAGGUGCUUCAGAGGGCAUGAACAGAACAGGUAAUCAGCAAGUGAUCCAUCUCCUGUCGCCCAUUCCCAGCUUCUGCCAUACAGAGGCUAGGGACGCCAUCCCUGUUGGGUUUGAUUUCCAGUUUGCUGUGGAGCAAAAUGAUCAGAUCAGAAAAACUUUUAAAGCCUUACAGGAUCUAGAGCUUUUUCCAGCAGUGGAAGCCAAAGCUGUUAGAUUUGUUUAUAGUGAAAUAAAGUAUUGGACAGUAGGGAGCUAUUAGGAUCACUAAACUCAUGUCUUUUCUUAAGAGAACUGCCACUGGAGGCAAUGAAGUGAAGGAAGAGUCUAACCAUUUCCUUCACUGGAGAGAAAAUGAACCUGUCAGCAUCCUGUUGCUUUCUCCUGUGUAUGCGGUCUGACAGUUUCAGACUGAUUGAGGUGUGGAUCUAUUGUAGGUAUGUGGCACUUCAGAAAAAUCUUUAACCAGCACAUGGUGGGCUCAGGCUGCCAGUUUAUUUUAAAAAAAAACACUCCCAUCAAGAAACACAUUAAAGAAAACUACCUAGCGAUUCACCAAACAUUUUGUCUGUGCCUUUGCGAACAUACAGAUUAUUGCCUAACUGAACUUUGAAUAAUGGAAAGGAUCAGGCUACCACUGGAGAGGAGAAGGGGGCAUUCUGCCCAAUACCAGUCGUCACGAUACUAUAAUUUGCAUCCAGCAGCACCAGUUCAGUCUGUUCCCUGCUGCUUUCCACCUGAAGGAGCGAGGUGCAAAUCAUCUUUUCUGCAAAAUGAGAAGGUAGGGAGUUAAGGAUGGUGUUUGAGAGUAGGACGCUAGCAAAUUCUGUUCUACAGCCAGGGCCUUUCCGUUCACGUUGCAGCCCUGACUCAAAGAAACUAUUGCACUGACUAGUCUUGGUGAAGAAGGGGGCACUGGCAUUUCCAGGGCCACAGGCACUCAUGUACGGAUACCAUUGUCAUCUGCAAGGACGGAACCCAGGGCGAGCCUCUCGCACUUAAAAUGAGAGGUAUGUGCACAAUCGUCAUAGGAGCUGAAGCGACCUUCAGUGCUAUCAGCAUCUAAAGCUUUGUCCCAUAGUGGCAAAAGAGCAGAGGGUCCCAGAGCAUAGCCUUGGGUUUUUAAUGAAGUACUGGAAAUCACGAUCCUGUCAUCUGGAAACAUUCUACCUUCUAUCACCUCAAAACCAAGCCAACCUGAUUGCAGAAUAUAUGGAAACUCAGGGUUAGAGAAGAGCUAUCUUGUCAAUUAUAAAGCGGGUAUUAAUGCUACUAGGAACUAUGUUCCCUAGAUCAUUUUUCUUUAUAGGACUGUCUAAUGCAAUUGUAUCUUUCUUAAUAUGAAAUUAAUAACAGCACUAAAACAAGAAACUUUAAAGCUUAAUAGUUGGGGUGAGGAAAGAAUGGAGAAAACGUAUCUGCUCUAUCGUAGGUACUAGCAGAGCUCCAUUGGGUCCACAAGUGAAUAAGAAGCACUGAAAGUGGAAGAUGUGUCCGCCUAUCCUGGGGCAUGUUUGUCAUGUGAGAGGAGGUCUCAGCAAAUCCCCCCCACCAAACAAAAUGAACUGUGAAAGCAAUUCUUGGAGGGCACAGAGACCUGCUCCUCAUAAGAAGCCUAAUCAUAAUAGCGUCUGUUGGCAUCGGGUCACUGAAAUGAGGCCGCAGCCGGCACUCCCGCUGGGCCUUGACACAGUCCGCAGUCUCCUGGGCGAUGUCAGAGCUGGAUCUGCGGCAGCUCGGGCUGGAAUUCUGCAACAAAGGCA